GUCGCGUUCACCAGAAUAAUCCGAGUGCAAUCCGAUUAAUUUGCGCUGAAACGCUGACAGUUUUUUUACUAGUGAACGACUGACGUUUGACAUUCGAUUGAGAGUGUUCUGUGUUCCAUUUGUUUAUGUUUUUAUUCUUUGUUUAUAUAAUUUAUAACCUAAACCUAGACAGUUUUGUUUUUAUUUUAAAUAAAACUGAAACUGUCUAAACUAAAAUGGAUAAUAUUCUUGAAGAACUUUUGUUUGGGGACGAAAUUAGCAAAUGCCGUUAUACAUUUAGCAGAUGUACCUACCUCAAAUUAUUCCAGAAGGAUGAGAUGAAAUUAAAUAUAUUAUAAACCAUAAUUCAAUAUCCAAUUUAGAGAACAUUUUCGUAUGUUCAGAACUACUUUCCAGGAACUAUUUAAUUGUAUUGGUCAUAUCCACCAAUUUGAAAACAGAAUAAUUCUAUUGGAAAAAAUUAAUGUUUAUGAUGUGGAUGCUAAGUAAACCAGAUAAUUUGUUGCUGGGGAUACGUUUGGUUUGCCAAAGAGCUCUGGACAUAAGAUUUUCACCCAAAUAAUAUAGAAUUACAAAAAAUUGGAAAUAACUAAUCUUGAAUAUCAAUGUGUAUAUUGAGUUUAAUUUUAUUGUAAAUAUUCUAUAAUAUAAUUUUAUUGUAAAUAUUGUAUUAACACAUUUGUGGACACAUUUUCAUAUGCAGACAGUAAUUUCCCUUUGUAAGUACAUGCAUAUAUAGUCGUAUCUGCGAAUGGGUUAAUUGUAAAUCGUAAUCAAUAAAAAUUUUUUGUGAAUCAAUAAAAAACUGGUUUGUUUGAAAAUAAAUGUAGUACAAAUGUG